CGACCUGAGCUCAGGCAAGAUUACCCGCUGGAACUUAAGCAUAUCAAUAAGCGGAGGAA
rnacentral:rRNA from 1 species